rnacentral:rRNA from 1 species
GGCCUUUUGAAUUUAAUAUAAGGUCUGACCUGCCCAGUGAUAAUUUUAACGGCCGCGGUAUACUGACCGUGCAAAGGUAGCAUAAUCAUUAGUCUUUUAAUAGAGGGCUGGAAUGAAAGGUUUAACGAAGAACUGACUGUCUCAUUUUAUUUGUUUUAAAAUUUAAUUUUUUAGUUAAAAAGCUAAAAUUUUAUUGGUAGACGAGAAGACCCUAUAGAGCUUUACAUAAAAUUAAUUUGAUAUUUUUAUAUUAAUAUUUCUAAUUAAUUUUGUGUUUUGUUGGGGUGACAAAAAUAUAUAAUUAACUAUUUUAUUUAAUUAACAUUGAUUUAUGAGUAUUAGAUCCAUUAUUAUUGAUUAUUAGAUUAAGUUACCUUAGGGAUAACAGCGUAAUCUUCCUCCAGAGUUCAUAUUUACAGGAUGGGCUUGCGACCUCGAUGUUGGAUUAAGAUAAUAAUUGGGUGUAGCAACUUAAUUAAUAGGUCUGUUCGACCUUUAAAUUCUU